AAAGAGAGGGAACAGGGUGAUGGAGAGUACAAAAGUUCAGCUACAAGGAACAAACGCCGCGAUGUUGUGUGCGGCUGGGUGCAACGCGGUGUGUACAGGGUGACACGAAUCAACAUCGAUUCUCGCCGUGAUGCCGUAACUCGCCGCGCUUCACCGGCGUGGAUACCUGUUAUUUGGGCACUGUAUACGAUUUUAAAUAACGUCGAGGUAUCUCAACAUGCGUAUCUCGAACCACGUUUCACACGUUCCGCACCGCUGUCUCACGUAGAUAUCUGUUUACCGUGAUGGAUGAGCCGCCUGAAAAAUUACCGUGCAACACGCUAACGGCCAAAGAAUUGUUGUGCAGCAAGGGUAUCAAUAAUUGCAUACUGGAGGAAUGGGAGAGAGCCUUGAACACUUUGCCCAGAAACGGAAGGAAGCACUUCGAGCCGGACAAUUCUUGGCUGCAGAAUGUCCAGAUUGAGAAAGGACUGAAAAAUCGUAGGGACCUAUUAAAUAUCGAGAGAGUCGAGCGGGUCUCGGAAUUGGCUACUGCGGAAUGGCUGCCGGCCCAGAAGAAGGCUCUUGUUACUAAAAGAUCCGGCCAAGACUGGAGCAACUUCGGUCAGGAGAGAAACGGUUCCUUAUAUUUGCUACCAGAGGAAGCGUUGUUUCUCAUGGAAACAAAUUGUCUCGAACUCAUUUGGAACGGGUUGUCAUGCUCGAUCCAGCAAGCAUACGAAAUCUUGAUCGACGACUCGACAUGUACCCUGGAAGAAUAUAGAGUUUAUAGUCAAUUAACACGCUAUGGCUACCGUAUACAGCGGUACUUUUACGAAGAGUCAGAUAAGUGCAAUAGAACGGAUGAACUUACCAUUAAACGGAAAAUUAUCGUCGAUCCUGAAAAUGGACUGAGAAUGUCCGACAACCAACCGCAGAAUAAGCAGAGCGCGAGGAAGUCAGCUGCGGCGAAGGAUAUUCCGGAGACGUCAAGUAAACCUUUCGUUAGUCUUGACCAGCAAGAAAAGGACCACGAAAAGACAACCGUACAAGAAUCCGUGAAGCAAACAGUACGUAAUCUGGUAGACCAGAUUCUGUGUGAUAUAGAAAGUCAGGAAAAUAAAAAUAAACCAGCCACCUCUGGAGCAGACGAAAACAAUACGGCGGAAAAUGAUACAAACAACGAGGAUAGAAAUCGCAAUUCCAAGCCAGAAAUCAUUUCCGACGAGACUCUGUUGGGCAAUAUUAAAAUUCUCCGAGACACAUCGUGCAAGGUAUCGAAGUGGCCGGGUGCUCGCAUUCAGCGUAAUGUUAAGCAGCUGCCUAAGAGGAAUGACAAAGUAUCCCCUCCGGAAAUAUCUAUAAUCGAUUCCAAUGUCACGGGUGAAAAUCCGCGAUGUACAGAUAAACGCAAGUCAUUGGCACAAAUCGACGACUCACAUGCGAAAAAGUCCAAGCACGAGGUGAUUGAGUUGUCCGAUGAUGAGAUUCAGGAAUUGCCGCAGUGUAUGACAAGAAUGGAGAUGUUGAAUCUACUACCAAAUAUUGCCUUCCAGUCGGAAAUCAGCGAGAAAAUUUCCAGGCGAUAUAUACCGCACAACAUAAGGCCUCAGAGGAGCACAUAUCAAUACAAUCGGACGAUGAUUUUGAACAUGCAGGAGAACGACAAGCAAGCGCGACAGAAUUGCAAAGAUAGCAGGACUAACGGGAGGCACCGCGCGUCCCACUCUAGGAGCCCACUUGCCGUUAAUAACAGAAGCGCUCUCUUUCAAAGUCAACGUCCGCUCCUGCGCACUCCGUCGCGAUCGUUUUAUCCUGUAGACCAAAUGCACGGGACGAACAUUAACUUGCCUUACGCGUACAGAUUUCCGUUCAACUACCUGCCGGACAUUUAUCUGCAGAAUAGGGUCACGCAGAAUGUAUUUCACAAUUUAUUCGUCGCCUUCGGGAACCACGGGAACGCUGUUCAGCAAAGGAGCCUCACCAUACAGAUGAACAAUUUCACGAUGCCGAUCCUGGAGGGCUACCGAACGAGACACUUCUUCACGGAGAACCAACUCCGGCACGGUUUCUAUCAGAAUGUUUCGUGGCAGCAAAGAUUUUGUCAGCGCAGAAUGCUGGAGAACGCGCCGGUGCAUGGCAAUGUGCAUUCCGUUGCAAGACGACGACACGAUGACGGCAACAGUCUAGUCGGUCACGAGAUCGUUAAUCGGCCUUCCUUUACGACGCGUCUAGGAGCUAACUCGUGGACGGAAUUGAAGAGAAGAUGGUCUGAAGAAAAAACCAUCACAAUCGACGACGAGGAUUAUAAGAACAAGAGUGAGAGCGAGGAAGAUUGCACUGAAGUUCAAGUUGUGAAGCUUCUCAAUCCUUUGGUCAGUCCGAGAAACGUAUCCUCGAUGACAGAAAUCUUCAGUAGGCUCGCUAUAAUAAAAUCAGCGCCGGAAAGGAUCGUCAGAAGGAAAAAGAGCAAGUACAAGAUAUCGUACAACGUGUAUUCUUGUACGCAUCAUUACAGAAAGACGAAUCCCGGUCAACCAUUGUAUAGCCUGGUAGUGAUGAGGAAAGAAGACUCGAUCAUCCAACCUGUUGAGUUGAAUCGCCUGCAACAGGACGCGAAAGGUUCCCAGAUAGUAUUAGCAUACGUGUCAAUGUCAAUAUCGUACAUUCAGCCGGGUAUUAUAACGAUGCCAAACAUAAUUUAACGUUUUAUUCGAAACACUUAAUUGGUUGGAAACUGUUUUGAAGCGAGCGAUGCGUCUAUGUCAAAGAUUAUCCUGAAAGAACUGGCCAAACCGUGUUGGGAGGGACUUGGAUAGGCUUGACUAUUAAGACCUACACAUAAGGACAAUAAAACUAUUAUAUAUACAUAUAUAUAUCACAUAUGUAUACACACGUAUGACACUAUUGUGUGCAUUUUCUAGAAUCUAGAUGACGAAGCUUGAGUAUAUGUGUUGGACUUCUACUUGCUCUGGGACAAUGCUUUGAGUUUUUCAACAAUCGAGAGCGGUCACAAUGAGUGUUGGUUUCCCGAUGGAAGUAUUUUGUAAAGUACUGUGAAAUUGAUCAAAAAUUGAGAUAAAUGUUAUUGACAAAUUACUGAAUGUAUGUAAAAUGAAUUAUAAUUUUUCUUAAAUAAAGUUCAAAGUUAUAUUAUGAGAUAUAAGGAAUAAAGUACAUUGUGCACAAGUAUACUAUUGAAGU